UUUUGUUUUCCGUUUGCUUGGUAGGUCUUCCUCCAUCCUUUUAUUUUGAGCCUAUGUGUGUCUCUGCAUGUGAGAUGGGUUUCCUGAAUACAGCACACUGAUGGGUCUUGACUCUUUAUCCAAUUUGCCAGUCUGUGUCUUUUAAUUGGAGCAUUUAGUCCAUUUACAUUUAAAGUUAAUAGUGUUAUGUGUGAAUUUGAUCCUGUCAUUA
rnacentral:lncRNA from 10 species